AAAUAAUGUUGAAGAUUUAAUUUUUGAAAAAUAAACUGCCAUUUUAAAUAACAAACCUUUUGAACAUUUCAAUCAACUUACAGCAGUCAUUUUAAUUUUAAUUAUGUUUUGUUAAACUGUUCUUAGUUUAUUUAUAAAUGUGUACAUAAAUGCUUAUCCUAUUGAAAUCGCAAUUGUAAAUCUAGUAAAGUUAAAAGUAACUAAAAACUAGAGAAGACAGAUUUACAUUUCCAAUUCAACUUAUAUAUAACAUUUUGAGAGUUGCAACAUUUAAUUCCUUGACUCGAGGAACAACGACCUUUACAAAUUUUUAUCUCAAUCUUUUUUGAACGUGAAAAUGAGUUUGUUAAAUGUUACUCUAGAUUUGAAUCAGUCUGCCUUCAUCAUCACCAUAAACAUCACCAACAUCAUCAGUAUCAUUAUAAUCUCGUUCUUCAUCUUUUCUCUUUUUACUCGUGUGUUUUUUUUCAUCAUCAUUUAUCUUUCUUCUUCUUCACCAUCUUCACCUUCAUUGUGUACAGAAAGACAAUAUUUAAACACAAGUCCAAUGGAUUUGUAUCAUUAAGAAGUGAAGGAGAAGAAAAAUAAAAUAAGUAAAACCCAUUCUCAAAAUAUAUACUGACUAAUUAUCUGGCCCGUUAACAGGGUUACGUUGAUUUGCUCUCGCUGAACAUCAAUCCUCAUCUUCCUCAUCCUCAUCUCCUAUUACAAGGAAUAAUUAAGACGAAAUUUGGUGCAUCAUCUGAAAAGGACAUUCAAUAAAAGAAGGAUCAUCUUUGGAAAGAAGGAGAAGACGAAAAAGGCGAAAAAGAAAAUCAUUUUCAUCUUAAUUUCCCUGCCCUUUCCGUUUUUCCAUCUUUCAUCCUCGUCUUUUUUUCCCAUAAAAAAGCAAACCUAAUACAUCUUGCUUCAGUUUUGUUGUACAAGCCUAGUCAAUAUAAUCAUCAUUAUCAUCACCAUCAUAAUCAUCAUCUUUCCUCAUCAUAAUCAUCAACUUCUCAACUUUUUGUCACAAUUUCACUUGAAAUUCCAGCUUAACUUUUCUCUCAUUCAAAGCUUUAUCCUUCAUCAUUAUCAUCUUCAUGGUGAGUACAUGUUAAAGGUAAAUUAGGAGCUUUGCAGUUGAAGCCAAAUGAUGAUAUCAGUUGAAAUGUCAACAGAUAAAGACGACAAAAAAACGCAAACAAACCAACCUAAAAGUGUAUUUUAUAAGCAGCUUUUUACACCUUCAAAAAAAGACACAAUUUUCAUCAUCGCCAUCAUCACCAUCACCAUCACCGUUACCAUCAUCAUUAUCAUCAUUACCAAACUCUUAGAGAAACCACAUUAUCAUCCUUUCCACUUCUCAAUCAGUUUUCAGUUGACAAUCAGGAAACCUCCUUCAUCUCCUCCCACUAAUCAUCGUCACAAUCAUUUUAAUAAUCAUGAUCAUUACUGUUAAUUUAGAGUAAAUUGUUCCAAAACUGUAAACAGGGAAACUCAUUAACCAACUUUAUGAGCAUUAAAACUCAGAUCAAACCUCAAAA